CACCACACAGUUUUAAUCUCAUUUGGUUUAGUAUUCACUCACUUUUCGUAAUAAAUUCACUUUGUUUUGGAGACCCUGCGUGGGUUAGAUGUGUUCUGUCACUUCUGACAGUUUGACGUUUAUAAACUGGUUGGGGAAGAUUUGAGUCACAUAAAUACCCGUUCAAUGAAAGUUUUUUUUCUUGUCGGAGAAAAUCUGAUUUCAUUUUCAUUAAGAUAAAUUAACAUUAUAACAUGUAAAGUAAUUCUAGGAUAUUGGUUUGCAAUAAAAUUUAGCUAAUAGUUUGGUUUUGUUUUUCUUCUGCGGCGCUAGGCGUGUUCUCGUUUGUCUAUGAUACGGUCAUUAGCAAAGGUGACUAUUUGCAUUACGGGGUUGAAGAUUCGUUUAAUGUAAGUUAAUUUCUUCUUUCCAUACAAAAAUACUUAGAAUUUUAAAAUGAGGGGUAUGUUGUUAUUUGUCUUAAUUUUUGGUGAAAGUUUUCACAAUCUAAUAUUUCCUUUUCUUUGGUUGGAUACGUGGCUAAGGUCUCGGGCCACCAUUGAAAUAUUGUCAUUGCCUGAAGUGAAUCGUAGCUGACAGCAUGUGAAAUUUUGAGAUAGUUAAUAUCCCAGGCAAUCUAUUCAUUCCGGGGUAUGUUUUAGUGUUCAAAGAGUGCUUUGUUUUCUUUAUUGUGUGGUCUUCACGUAUUAAUUAAUAUUUUGUUCUUUUAGCCGAGCCCGUUAAACUCGAUUAACCUAAAAAUGUAAGCCGCCCUUACAAAGAAAAGUAAACAGCCAGUUUAUUUCGGUGAGUUUUGGUAAUAAAACAAGUGUUGCUCGGAGGUUAUUCCUUCAUGUUCUUUGUCCAGAACACCGUUUCUUAUUAUUUUGUAUUACCUUUCCAGCCUUCAAUCUUCCCAUCGCUGCCACGUGAGAACGUGACGGUGACCUCCAGAGGAAAAUAAGGAAAACACCCAGCCUUUCUGGGUGUUUUUAUCCGGGUAUAUGUUCCACAUACUAUCCUGCUACUAUCCUGGUAUUAUGUCCUGAACUGGAGUUAGCAGUUUGCUGCCAAAACUACCCGUGAGAGAAACCGCCCAAGUUUGUGAAACGGAUUAAUACCUAGGAUAUUUUACAUUUAUAACAUAGCAUUUUUAAUUAAGGAUAUCCAUCCAGGAAUAAGACCAAUAUAAUUUUGUGGAGCGAUAUAAAUAUAUAUAUUUCCUGUAAUAAAACUUAAAUUAAAUACUUCCACCUCCGUUAGACUGUACGAUGGUGAUAGAAAAUAAGAACUUAGUGAAGGUUGUUCUUACAAUAAAUUAAUUAAAUUAGU